UACGUAGGGGGCAAGCGUUGUCCGGAUUUACUGGGUGUAAAGGGCGUGUAGCCGGGCUGACAAGUCAGAUGUGAAAUCCGGGGGCUCAACCCCCGAACUGCAUUUGAAACUGUUGGUCUUGGGUAUCGGAGAGGCAGGCGGAAUUCCUAGUGUAGCGGUGAAAUGCGUAGAUAUUAGGAGGAACACCAGUGGCGAAGGCGGAUUACUGGACGAUAACUGACGGUGAGGCGCGAAAGCGUGGGGAGCGAACAGG
rnacentral:rRNA from 1 species